GUGGCGAACGGGUGAGUAACACGUGGGUGAUCUGCCCUGCACUUCGGGAUAAGCCUGGGAAACUGGGUCUAAUACCGGAUAGGACCACGGGAUGCAUGUCUUGUGGUGGAAAGCGCUUUAGCGGUGUGGGAUGAGCCCGCGGCCUAUCAGCUUGUUGGUGGGGUGACGGCCUACCAAGGCGACGACGGGUAGCCGGCCUGAGAGGGUGUCCGGCCACACUGGGACUGAGAUACGGCCCAGACUCCUACGGGAGGCAGCAGUGGGGAAUAUUGCACAAUGGGCGCAAGCCUGAUGCAGCGACGCCGCGUGGGGGAUGACGGCCUUCGGGUUGUAAACCUCUUUCACCAUCGACGAAGGUCCGGGUUCUCUCGGAUUGACGGUAGGUGGAGAAGAAGCACCGGCCAACUACGUGCCAGCAGCCGCGGUAAUACGUAGGGUGCGAGCGUUGUCCGGAAUUACUGGGCGUAAAGAGCUCGUAGGUGGUUUGUCGCGUUGUUCGUGAAAUCUCACGGCUUAACUGUGAGCGUGCGGGCGAUACGGGCAGACUAGAGUACUGCAGGGGAGACUGGAAUUCCUGGUGUAGCGGUGGAAUGCGCAGAUAUCAGGAGGAACACCGGUGGCGAAGGCGGGUCUCUGGGCAGUAACUGACGCUGAGGAGCGAAAGCGUGGGGAGCGAACAGGAUUAGAUACCCUGGUAGUCCACGCCGUAAACGGUGGGUACUAGGUGUGGGUUUCCUUCCUUGGGAUCCGUGCCGUAGCUAACGCAUUAAGUACCCCGCCUGGGGAGUACGGCCGCAAGGCUAAAACUCGAAGGAAUUGACGGGGGCCCGCACAAGCGGCGGAGCAUGUGGAUUAA
rnacentral:rRNA from 1 species